CCGGGGGCGGGAGCGGCGCCCCGCCGAACGGAUGUCCGGGGGUCCCACCAGCCAAACUCUGGGCGGGAGGGGUCGGACGGACUUCGGGGAAGCCGUCGCCCCACUUCCCUGCCCAAAACCCCAAACGCGGCCCCUCCGGAGGCCUCCCUGAAAAUCACUGCCAACUUUGCAGUAGGAAGUGAAACCAGAAGCAGAGCAACUUUCACUUUCUCGAUGUCACUUUGAUACUCGCCGCAAGGCGGGAGCCAGGCACACUGUACUCCUUUCGAAAGGUGAACUCCCUCAAGCUCGGAGAGAGCUCCUCAGGAGCUAUCAUUCGGUUCUAACAGCCCAUGCCAGCCUAGUGAGUGGCCACUGAGGCACCCUGGCCAACAGGCAGCCAACUGCCAGGCAGGUGAGUGAGGCUGCACUGGACCACCCAGCCUCGGUCAAGUCUUCUGCCACCUGGAGCCACCUGCAACCCAGAAGACCAGCAGAACUGCACCCAGCCUAAACUGCCAAACCAGAGAAUCAUGAGCAAGUCAAAUUAAAACUUGUGGUUUUAA